AAAUUGACAUUCCUGCCGAUAUGUCUGAUCGCGAAGAAGAGGAGAGUGGACAAGUGCAACAGCCAAAAGAACUCUUUGGGUCAGAAUUAAUAGAAUUUAUAGCUGAAGAGGAAGCUCCAUCUGAAAAGCAUUCAAAGCUCAAGUCCACAACAAGUCCUGCCCCCUCCCCUUCCUUGAGACCGAAGAUCUCACAGACCUCAGGCACCACUCUAGAGGGCUCCAGGG